rnacentral:rRNA from 1 species
GGGCGUUAGAGAUUUGAGUAGAGUUGCUCCUCGUACGAGAGGACCGGAGUGAACGAACCACUGGCGUUCCGGUUGUUUCGCCAGAAGCAUUUCCGGGUAGCUACGUUUGGACGGGAUAAACGCUGAAAGCAUCUAAGCGUGAAGCCUCCUUAAAGAUUAGAUCUCUCUGAUGAAAAUCAGUAAGGAACGUUGGAGACUACGACGUUGAUAGGCUGGUUGUGGAAGUACAGCAAUGUAUGAAGCUUACCAGUACUAAUG